UAUUCAUGCAGUGCAAAAAUAUGACAAAAAAUACUCCAGUCAUUCCAUAUGUGCUGAAUUGCCGGCUGAAUACAGACUUAUUUUUAUUUAUUUAUUUAAUUUGUCGCAUAAAGUGAUUAGUUAUAAUUAUUCGUUUGUGAAAUUUUUGAGAUUCCAAAAUACAGUGAAAUGUCGGGUUUUAUCCCAGUGCCACAAACUGAGGAUGGCACGACGAAAGAACAUGUUGCAACGGAGUGGUACGAAUUUCGAUUGGCGGAUGGAACCUUAAAGUGGCCACAAGUCGUGGGAGGAAUAAUUGCUCUAAUUCUGCUGGUCGGGUUGAUUGUGUUGAUUGCAUUCUUAAUUAUUGGAUUUAUGGGUUUAGGUGCCAGUCGUUGGUUCCAUGCGAAUCUAAUGGUGAGACUGAGACUUGUAGUAAAAUAUGUGCAUAAUUCAGGACCACCCCGAUUCAUCAAGACGGAGUCGCGACGGAGGCAACUUACCCUAGCGUAUGGGGAACAAGGUCAGAUUACCUGCACAGUAGAUGCUCAACCUCCUGCGACCUGGACGUGGAAAUGUGGUAAGGUCGAGAUCAAUAAGGAUAAUCCGUACAAAGCAAAACUCAAAGUUACCAAUACGGAGAACGAGUCAACUCUUAAGGUACCCUUGCACAUACAGAUAAAUAUGUAUUUUUAGCAAACUGUACAGCGAGAUAUGGAACUUUGCUUUGCAAAUCCCUAAACCUAAAUAUUUUUUACGAAUUCCUAAACCGAAUUAUUAUUUUGGGCAAAUUCCAAAUAAUGCCAAUUUACGUGCAAGCCAAAGUUGGAAUAUAUUCCCGAACUAUUUCGAGGCGGUGGUUGCUCUUGCCAGCCCCGUAACGAGGUAACCACCCAUCUCAUAACCCUCCACACGAACGUCGCCCUGUUCUACCCGCCCGUCAAACUGCAUCAGGCCACCUUCCGUGGCGACACGACCGUCCGACUGACCACGUAUCGUGACGAGGAUAAAGGACCAGCAGACACGGACAAGUGUUUCUUUGUCCAAUACAAGAUCUCCGAUCCGGAGGUGGACGACGAGUGGAAAUUUGCGGAGCGGAUUUUGACCAAUUUAGACUUUGACGUCAAGCGGUGCACGAUUGAGAAAUGGAAAGAGUGGAGGAUUGACGGCUUCAUUACUACGGAUGUGUUUAACCAUUUAAAUGUGGGAUCCGCACAUUUUGACCUGCACGGCCUGCAGCCUACUGCAGGGUACGAUGUUCGGGCGAUGGCCGUCAGCCUGGAGAAUGGCAACGUUCCACAUGUCAGGUUUAGUGAUGGGACAAAACAUCAGGUUUAAUGAUGGGAUUCAUUUCAUGACCAAGGGAGCGAAACAACUGAGCGACAAUAACUGAUGCCGUGAUGAAAUGAACAAAAAUUUCGUGUGAUUAAGUAUGUAUGGACACUUGGGUUUUUUAACUUGCAUAUCAAUUUAUUUUUAAGUUUCGACUUUCAGUAUAUGUAAAUCUAGUUAUGUAGAAAUUUAUCAUGUCCUAUUUUUAAGCUUGUGGAAUAAAAUUUUAAAAUGUGUUGA